rnacentral:rRNA from 1 species
AUGUCUGGGUAUAACAAUCACUUGAUUCAACUACGAGUUAAUCUUCCGGAUGAUAGCGUCAUCGACAGAAUUCUUCAAUCACUGCCAUCAAGCUACAAGAGCUUCGUGAUGAACUAUAACGUGCAAGGGAUGGAUAAGACGAUUCCCAAGCUCUUCGCAAUGCUAAAAGUUGCGGAGGUAGAAAUCAUGAAGGAGCAUCAAGUGUUGAUGGUUAAUAAGACCACCAGUUUCAAGAAAAAGGGCAAAGGGAAGAAGAAGGGAACUUCAAGAAGAACAGCAGACAAGUUGCUGCUCAAGAGAAGAAACCCAAGUCUGGACCUAAGCCUGAGACUGAGUGCUUCUACUGCAAGCAGACUGGUCACUGGAAGCGGAACUGCCCCAAGUAUUUGGCGGAUAAGAAGGAUGGCAAGGUGA